rnacentral:tRNA from 1 species
UAAAAGUUAGUUUAAUUUAAAAUGUAGGUUUGUGACUCCUAAGAUAAUUCUAAUAUUACUUUUAC